CAUUCAUGUGUAUGUGCUCUUUAUUGGCGAUGUAUUCUUGGUAGAAGUGGUUGAUAUUGAUGGCCUUCUCACCGUGGCUGGUGCGGAGCUGCUUGAGGAAGUCGGACAGGAACUCAUUGGAAUAUUGCUGGAUGUAUUUGCGCGGGUCCUCGCCGACAAGCAGCAUUUGGCGCACAUGUGAUUCUGACUGCGUGUGGCAUUUGAAGCCGUUCUCGUCACGCAUCUGCCGCUCGCAAACCUGGCAGUACCAUCGCAGACGUUGGAGGCCUUUGGACUUGAGCUUGUUGCUCAGGUACUUUGUGCUGCCGACUUCUGCGCGAGGCAUGGUGGGCU
rnacentral:sRNA from 2 species